AUUUUUUUUUAUUUUUUUUAUAUAAAAUCCAGUUUUAUUUCUCCAAGGGGCUCCCUGGAGACUACGCAAACUUUAUACUGGUAGGAAGGAAG
rnacentral:ribozyme from 1 species